CUACAGUAAGCUGCAGUAAGCUAUAGUAAGCUGUAGUAAACUAGUAAGCUGUAGUAAACUGCACUGUAGUAAACUAAUAAACCACAGUAAACUGUCGUAAACUGCUGUAAACUGUAGUGAAGGAUCUGUGAGGCUGUGCAGCUCUGCUGUGGUUGGAGUUCCUGAUUUGACUAGACGCACUCAGUGACAGAUGCUGGUGGUCCUCUCCUCCAGGCUGCUUCCUGUGGAGGGGGCGGGAUCACCUUGUCACUUCCUACUCUGCCCGCUGGGAAACCAGCAGCAGCAGCAGGCUGGACGUUCACACUGCUCCUCUGACUCAGCAUCAUGCUGCUUUCUGUCUGCAAUCUGCUGCCAUUACCAAUGUUUCAUUUUGUCAAUGAUGCAAAGAAUUGAAAAGGAUCUGAACGCACCAGGAGACAAACCUCUGGACCCUGGAGACGAUCCCAAGAUUAUUAAAUUAUUUUUUUGUUAAAAUUUUACAAAAACUGAACUGGAGAAAACAUUUUGUUAAGCAAUAGAAAUAAAAUGUUAAUGGGGAAAAAUAUAACUAAAACAUACUUAAAUUCGUAUUUAUGUUUAUUUGUAUCCAUUUAUCAACCUUUUAAACUGAUGUGAAACAAGCAGUUUAUGUCAGCUGAAUUACGGCUCUCCAUUUUCCUCCUGGCGGCUACGCUACGCUAAGCUGGUCUGCAAAUUGAAUCCAUAUGAGUAUUUGUAAUGUAAAUGCAGUGUAAAAAUAAU